GCGGUACCGGUUCACGCCUUCGGGCGACCCGGCGACC
rnacentral:ncRNA from 1 species